UUUCAUGCUCUUCAUAUUAAGCUGUUUUUUGUUUUUACCAACAUAUUUGAAUUUCUUAUUAAAAGAAUUCUAUUUCAUUAACUAAAUUUUAGAGACUUCUUAACUAACUUUUAGAGACUAGCUUCCAGCAAAUCUUGCUGACGGAGAAGAACAAGGGAACAAGGCUGUUGUUCAUCAAAUUCGCCAUGGAUGAUAAAAGAAGGGAAUGAGUUGAAGACUCGUUAUGAUAUAUCGUACAAAUACAUCAACAUGAAUUUAGGAACGUCUAUGUCUUUGUUCACAAGGAUAACUCAAAGUCUACGAAGCAAGAAAACAAAAUGAGAAUAAUGAAGCGAAAUAGCAAUGCAACAUCAGAAGAAAUGUUUUAUAUACAAUAAUAUAGACAAGGAGAUGUUUUAUAUACAAUAAUGGAUUUAUUUAUUCAAGAAUAAGUCAAAGUAAAUCGUCACAUAGAGCAUAAUGAAAGAUUAAACUACGAUGAAACAUGAA